GCGGAGGAAAAGAAACCAACAGGGAUUGCCUUAGUAACGGCGAGUGAAGCGGCAACAGCUCAAAUUUGAAAGCUGGCCCUUUUAGGGUCCGCAUUGUAAUUUGUAGAGGAUGAUUCGGCGAGGGCUCCUGCCUAAGUCCCCUGGAACGGGGCGUCAUAGAGGGUGAGAAUCCCGUAUGCGGUAGGUUGCCUUAGCCAUGUGAAUCUCCUUCGACGAGUCGAGUUGUUUGGGAAUGCAGCUCUAAAUGGGAGGUAAAUUUCUUCUAAAGCUAAAUACCGGCCAGAGACCGAUAGCGCACAAGUAGAGUGAUCGAAAGAUGAAAAGCACUUUGGAAAGAGAGUUAAAAAGUACGUGAAAUUGUUGAAAGGGAAGCGCUUGCAACCAGACUUGUCCGCAGUUGCUCAGCCGGUCUCCUGACCGGCGUACUCUUCUGCGGCCAGGCCAGCAUCAGUUCGGGCGGUCGGAUAAAGGCCUCGGGAAUGUGGCUCCUCUCGGGGAGUGUUAUAGCCCGGGGUGCAAUGCGGCCAGCCUGGACUGAGGAACUCGCUUCGGCAAGGAUGCUGGCGUAAUGGUUGUAAGCGGCCCGUCUUG
rnacentral:rRNA from 1 species